GUUGAUUGUUACCAUUACUUCAGAAUGGUCUCAUGAAGUUUUGUGAGAAAACACCAGAAGACGGCCUGUUUUUAUCAACGAUCACUGAAUGAUCGAGGUUGGAAGGGACCUCUGGAGGUCACCCGGUCCACCCCCCCGCUCAAGCACAGCCACCCGGAGCCGGUUGCCCAGGGCCACGUCCAGACGCCGUUGGAGAAUCUCCAAGGACGGAGAUUCCACCACCUCUCCGGGCAACCCGUGCCGGCGCUCCGCCACCCCUCGCGGUGAAAGCGUGUUGCCUGAUGUUCGGAGGGAACCUCCUGCGUUCCAGUUUGUGCCCAUUGCCUCUGGUCCUGCCGCUGGGCACCACUGAAAAGAGCCUGGCUCCGUCCUCUUUGCACCCUCCUCUCAGGUACUUAUGUACAUUCGCAAGAUGCCCCCUCAGCCUUCUCUUAAGUAAAAAAGUAGUGAAGUGUAGAUCUAAACAUGUAUGAAAACUAGAACUAAAUCAAGGGACAAAUUUAAGAGAAUGCUUGUAUGUAAUAAUGACAUUAACAACAUUAAAAGAUAGGUUCAGUCUACUGUUCAAGCAUGAGCAUGAAACCAUUAACAGGAAGAUGCAAAAUUAAGCUGCUUUACUUGUAAUUUCUCCACUUGAUUUGCACCACCUACAUUGUUUCCUCACCACUGUUAUUAGGAACGUAAGUAGUAAAGGGUAUGAUUGAC